rnacentral:rRNA from 1 species
UACGGAGGGUGCAAGCGUUAUCCGGAUUCACUGGGUUUAAAGGGUGCGUAGGUGGGCAGGUAAGUCAGUGGUGAAAUCUUUGGGCUUAACCCGAAAACUGCCGUUGAUACUAUCUGUCUUGAAUAUAGUGGAGGUGAGCGGAAUAUGUCAUGUAGCGGUGAAAUGCUUAGAUAUGACAUAGAACACCCAUUGCGAAGGCAGCUCGCUACACUAUUAUUGACACUGAGGCACGAAAGCGUGGAGAUCAAACAGG